rnacentral:lncRNA from 1 species
UGUGAUGAGUUAAUGCAAGGCAAGUGUACCGUAGAAUGGUGACGUCAUUAGUUACAGCCAAGUACCUUUCUCCAUGGAUUGCUAUUCUCGUCAUAUGCUGCAGUCGUUUCGAAGAGGUAGCAAAAGUGACGUACCAAUAUAGUAACCAAGUCCGUAAUUUGUUCCAUCCACCAAUAAGCACUAGUGAAGAAACCAAGUUGGCUGAAAGUGAAACCAAAACGCAACGCCAUCAAAUCUAUAGCCUCCAUCUUACUCUCUGCUACCGAUGCUUUACAGCAUUUCUCUAAAUGUUGUAGAUUUACCACGCUGACGUUAGGAAAGCUACUUUAUAAGUCAUAGAAGUAGGACUGCAAGAAUAGCGUUAAUCUUAAACUUUACGAUAAGUUGUUAGCCUACUCGAACAAGGUAAUUACUGCGCGGUACUAGGACCACCAGAAUGGUUGCCU